UACGUAGGGGUGCAAGCGUUAAUCGGAAUUACUGGCGUAAAGCGUGCGCAGGCGGUUAUGUAAGACAGAUGUGAAAUGCCCGGGCUUAACCUGGGAACUGCAUUUGUGACUGCAUGGCUAGAGUUUGGCAGAGGGGGGGUAGAAUUCCACGUGUAGCAGUGAAAUGCGUAGAUAUCGUAAGGAAGACCAGUGGCGAAGGCGAAUCUCUGGACAGUUACUGACGCUGAGUGACACGAAGGCCAGGGGAGCAAACGGG
rnacentral:rRNA from 1 species